CCGUUAUAACCGGCGAUACCCGAAUGGGGAAACCCAGUGUGACUCGUCACACUAUCAUUAACUGAAUCCAUAGGUUAAUGAGGCGAACCGGGGGAACUGAAACAUCUAAGUACCCCGAGGAAAAGAAAUCAACCGAGAUUCCCCCAGUAGCGGCGAGCGAACGGGGAGGAGCCCAGAGCCUGAAUCAGCAUGUGUGUUAGUGGAAGCGUCUGGAAAGGCGCGCGAUACAGGGUGACAGCCCCGUACACAAAAGCGCAUGUGCUGUGAGCUCGAUGAGUAGGGCGGGACACGUGGUAUCCUGUCUGAAUAUGGGGGGACCAUCCUCCAAGGCUAAAUACUCCUGACUGACCGAUAGUGAACCAGUACCGUGAGGGAAAGGCGAAAAGAACCCCGGCGAGGGGAGUGAAAAAGAACCUGAAACCGUGUACGUACAAGCAGUGGGAGCACAGGUUUACCUGUGUGACUGCGUACCUUUUGUAUAAUGGGUCAGCGACUUAUAUUCUGUAGCAAGGUUAACCGAAUAGGGGAGCCGGAGGGAAACCGAGUCUUAAUUGGGCGUUAAGUUGCAGGGUAUAGACCCGAAACCCGGUGAUCUAGCCAUGGGCAGGUUGAAGGUUGGGUAACACUAACUGGAGGACCGAACCGACUAAUGUUGAAAAAUUAGCGGAUGACCUGUGGCUGGGGGUGAAAGGCCAAUCAAACCGGGAGAUAGCUGGUUCUCCCCGAAAGCUAUUUAGGUAGCGCCUCGUGAAUUCAUCUCCGGGGGUAGAGCACUGUUUCGGCUAGGGGGCCAUCCCGGCUUACCAACCCGAUGCAAACUGCGAAUACCGGAGAAUGUUAUCACGGGAGACACACGGCGGGUGCUAACGUCCGUCGUGAAGAGGGAAACAACCCAGACCGCCAGCUAAGGUCCCAAAGUCAUGGUUAAGUGGGAAACGAUGUGGGAAGGCCCAGACAGCCAGGAUGUUGGCUUAGAAGCAGCCAUCAUUUAAAGAAAGCGUAAUAGCUCACUGGUCGAGUCGGCCUGCGCGGAAGAUGUAACGGGGCUAAACCAUGCACCGAAGCUGCGGCAGCGAACGUAUCACUUAAAGCGAUUCAGCGGGUUACGAUUGACGGAGCGA
rnacentral:rRNA from 1 species